GAGAGCCGGAUGCGGGGCAACUCGCACGUCCGUUCGGAAGAGCGGCAUUGGGGAGACGACCUGGGGCAACCCGGGCACCGCGCCCCAUGCCGACUCUUGC
rnacentral:ncRNA from 1 species